GCCUGCCCAGUGACAAUAGUUUAACGGCCGCGGUAUUUUGACCGUGCAAAGGUAGCGCAAUCACUCGUCCUUUAAAUAGGGACCUGUAUGAAUGGCCAAACGAGGGCUUAACUGUCUCCCCCAUCAAGUCAGUGAAAUUGAUCUAUCCGUGCAGAAGCGGAUAUAAUAAUACAAGACGAGAAGACCCUUUGGAGCUUAAGGUACAAGAUUUAAUUUACAUCAAGCAAACCAAUAAAAGUGAUUAAACUAGUAAAAGAUAAACCUCUACCUUCGGUUGGGGCGACCACGGAGUAAAAAACAACCUCCAAGCGGAACGGGCACAGCCCUAAAACCAAGAGAAACAUCUCUAAGCCUCAGAACACCUGACCAAAGACGAUCCGGCCUAUAAGCCGAUCAACGAACCAAGUUACCCUAGGGAUAACAGCGCAAUCCUCUCUAAGAGUCCAUAUCGACGAGGGGGUUUACGACCUCGAUGUUGGAUCAGGACAUCCUAAUGGUGCAGCCGCUAUUAAGGG
rnacentral:rRNA from 1 species